rnacentral:rRNA from 1 species
GAUGAACGCUGGCGGCGUGCCUAAUACAUGCAAGUCGAGCGAACAGACGAGGAGCUUGCUCCUCUGACGUUAGCGACGGACGGGUGAGUAACACGUGGAUAACCUACCUAUAAGACUGGGAUAACUUCGGGAAACCGGAGCUAAUACCGGAUAAUAUAUUGAACCGCAUGGUUCAAUAGUGAAAGACGGUUUUGCUGUCACUUAUAGAUGGAUCCGUGCCGCAUUAGCUAGUUGGUAAGGUAACGGCUUACCAAGGCAACGAUGAGUAGCCGACCUGAGAGGGUGAUCGGCCACACUGGAACUGAGACACGGUCCAGACUCCUACGGGAGGCAGCAGUAGGGAAUCUUGCGCAAAGGGCGAAAGCCUGACGGAGCAACGCCGCGUGAGUGAUGAAGGUCUUCGGAUCGUAAAACUCUGUUAUUAGGGAAGAACAAAUGUGGAAGUAACUACGCACGUCUUGACGGUACCUAAUCAGAAAGCCCCGGCUAACUACGUG